GUGCAGAUGAUGUCAAAUUUAUAUUGACUGAAUAUCUAUGAUGUAUUCAAAGGAACCACUGAUGCCA
ensembl:snoRNA SNORD42 Small nucleolar RNA SNORD42